rnacentral:rRNA from 1 species
CUGCUGGAGCGACCUGGUGAACUGAAAUAUCUAAGUAACCAGAGGAAAAGAAAUCAACCGAGAUUCCGUAAGUAGCGACGAGCGAACGCGGACUAGCCCUUAAGCUGAUUUGGUUCUAGGAAAACACUCUGGAAAGAGUGGCCAUAGAAGGUGAUAGCCCUGUAUCUGAAAGGGCCAUUUCAGUGAAGACGAGUAGGGCGGGGCACGUGAAACCCUGUCUGAACAUGGGGGGACCAUCCUCCAAGGCUAAAUACUACUGACCGACCGAUAGUGAACCAGUACCGUGAGGGAAAGGCGAAAAGAACCCCGGAGAGGGGAGUGAAAUAGAACCUGAAACCGUGUGCGUACAAGCAGUAGGAGCUCCGCAAGGAGUGACUGCGUACCUUUUGUAUAAUGGGUCAGCGACUUACUGUUCGUGGCAAGCUUAACCGUAUAGGGGAGGCGAAGGGAAACCGAGUCUGAUAAGGGCGCAUAGUCGCGGGCAGUAGAUCCGAAACCGGGUGAUCUAGUCAUGCCCAGGGUGAAGGUGCGGUAACACGCACUGGAGGCCCGAACCCACUCCCGUUGCAAAGGUAGGGGAUGAGGUGUGAUUAGGAGUGAAAAGCUAAUCGAACCCGGAGAUAGCUGGUUCUCCUCGAAAAGCUAUUUUAGGUAGCGCCUCAUAUGUUAUCCCUCUCGGGUGGUAGA